rnacentral:rRNA from 1 species
AUGGCGAGCAGCUAUCCUCCAUCCCACCUUCUACUACUCCUGGGCGUCCUCCUGCUGGCCGUGGCCGGCAAAUCGAGCUCGCAGUCCACCUCCGGCGACCAAGCAGCCACCCUCCUAGCUAUCAAGAAAGAGUGGGGAAAUCCAAGGCAACUUGUGUCGUGGGACCCCAUCGCCAACGCCGACCACUGCACCUGGACCGGCGUGGUCUGCGGCCGCAACGAACGCGUGGUGACUGGGAUAUCCUUGCCGAUGCUGAACAUCAACGGCAAGGUACCGGAGUCUCUGUGCGACCUGCCGAGCCUCACACACCUCGACCUCUCCUACAACAACCUCACCGGCGGGUUUCCCGGCGCCCAGCUCUACGCCUGCUCCCAGCUCCGCUUCCUCGACCUCUCCUGCAACGCCUUCCACGGGGUCCUUCCGGAUGACAUCAGCCGCCUGUCGCAGGCCAUGGAGCACCUCAACCUGUCGGCAAAUUACUUCGGUGGCGCCGUGCCGGCCGCGAUGGCCGAGCUUCCGGCCCUAAGGUCGCUGCUUCUUGACACCAACCAGUUUACCGGAGAGUACCCAGCAGCCGAGAUAAGCAAGGGUACCCGAUAA